AGUGAACGCUGGCGGCAGGCCUAAUACAUGCAAGUCGAACGGCAGUACAGCAGAGCUUGCUCUGUGGGUGGCGAGUGGCGGACGGGUGAGGAAUACAUGGGAAUCUGCCCAGUCGUGGGGGAUAACGUAUGGAAACGUACGCUAAUACCGCAUGCGCCCUACGGGGGAAAGUCGGGGACCGCAAGGCCUGACGCGAUUGGAUGAGCCCAUGUUCGAUUAGCUAGUUGGCGGGGUAAAGGCCCACCAAGGCGACGAUCGAUAGCUGGUCUGAGAGGAUGAUCAGCCACACUGGAACUGAGACACGGUCCAGACUCCUACGGGAGGCAGCAGUAGGGAAUAUUGGACAAUGGGGGCAACCCUGAUCCAGCCAUGCCGCGUGAGUGAAGAAGGCCCUCGGGUUGUAAAGCUCUUUUGUCCGGAAAGAAAAGCAAUCGGUUAAUACCCGGUUGUCCUGACGGUACCGGAAGAAUAAGCACCGGCUAACUUCGUGCCAGCAG
rnacentral:rRNA from 1 species